GAUGAACGCUAGCGGCAGGCUUAAUACAUGCAAGUCGUGGGGCAGCGCAGGUCGCAAUACUAGGCGGCGACCGGCAAACGGGUGCGGAACACGUACACAACCUUCCGAGAAGUGGGGAAUAGCCCAGAGAAAUUUGGAUUAAUACCCCGUAACAUAACGAUGUGGCAUCACAUUGUUAUUAUAGCUUCGGCGCUUCUUGAUGGGUGUGCGGCUGAUUAGAUAGUUGGCGGGGUAACGGCCCACCAAGUCUACGAUCAGUAGCUGAUGUGAGAGCAUGAUCAGCCACACGGGCACUGAGACACGGGCCCGACUCCUACGGGAGGCAGCAGUAAGGAAUAUUGGUCAAUGGACGCAAGUCUGAACCAGCCAUGCCGCGUGAAGGAUUAAGGUCCUCUGGAUUGUAAACUUCUUUUAUCUGGGACGAAAAAAGGCGAUUCUUCGUCACUUGACGGUACCAGAUGAAUAAGCACCGGCUAACUCCGUGCCAGCCGCCGCCGUAAAAC
rnacentral:rRNA from 1 species